AGGGCAAAGGGGAAAACGAAAUACAUGUUCCUUGGAACUCAUUUAUGCCUUAUAUUGCCUGGACAAAAUAACAUGAUUCCUAAUCCUCCAAAAAUGGAUUAAUGAACCCUCACAAAACUGUAGGUUUCCAGUAUUUGGAGCACAUGGUUCUCUGAAAUGCAGAUGGAUUUAGGCUGUCAAAUAGGAUCCGGAUGCAAAGACAAAAAUAAAGCAACGCUAAUCUAGCUUUUCACUUGCACUGGUCGUCUUUGUGCGUUGAAUGUUUGAAAGAUGAUCACACAGGUUCACCAAUGCAGAUCUCCGAGUUGAUUGCAGGCAGCAGGCACUGACACCUGGGUGUGGCAGCCACUGAACUUGCCAGGAAUGCAACCUGUGCCAGCUGGAGUGACUGCCAUCUCCCUCAGCCCUAGGACUG